GAUGAACGCUGACAGAAUGCUUAACACAUGCAGGUCUACUUGAAUUUGGGUUUUUUAACUUAGAUUUGGGUGGCGGACGGGUGAGUAACGCGUAAAGAACUUGCCUCACAGCUAGGGACAACAUUUGGAAACGAAUGCUAAUACCUGAUAUUAUGAUUAUAAGGCAUCUUAGAAUUAUGAAAGCUAUAUGCACUGUGAGAGAGCUUUGCGUCCCAUUAGCUAGUUGGAGAGGUAACGGCUCACCAAGGCGAUGAUGGGUAGCCGGCCUGAGAGGGUGAACGGCCACAAGGGGACUGAGACACGGCCCUUACUCCUACGGGAGGCAGCAGUGGGGAAUAUUGGACAAUGGACCAAGAGUCUGAUCCAGCAAUUCUGUGUGCACGAUGACGUUUUUCGGAAUGUAAAGUGCUUUCAGUUGGGAAGAAAAAAAUGACGGUACCAACAGAAGAAGUGACGGCUAAAUACGUGCCAGCAGCCGCGGUAAUACGUAUGUCACAAGCGUUAUCCGGAUUUAUUGGGCGUAAAGCGCGUCUAGGUGGUUAUGUAAGUCUGAUGUGAAAAUGCAGGGCUCAACUCUGUAUUGCGUUGGAAACUGUGUAACUAGAGUACUGGAGAGGUAAGCGGAACUACAAGUGUAGAGGUGAAAUUCGUAGAUAUUUGUAGGAAUGCCGAUGGGGAAGCCAGCUUACUGGACAGAUACUGACGCUGAAGCGCGAAAGCGUGGGUAGCAAACAGG
rnacentral:rRNA from 1 species